GUGUCUUCUUGCUUCCGUUCCGGGUUUCCUCCGCGAGAUGGGCUCUUUCUUUUAUUCUUCUUUUCUUUUCCGCAGCGGGAUUUCUCCUCUUCUUCUCCGCUUCGAUCUUUCUUUCAUGGUGCGUUCGUCUUAUCGUCUGCCGGUUUCGCCUCCUCAAGUUGGCUUUGCUUCUGGUUCUGCUGAUGGAGGGCCUGCUCAUUUUCCCUCUGCCUCUAUUGCCUCCGAUGGAGGGGAACCAUGUAGCACCAGGCGACCGCAGCCUCCCCCAACCCCCUGCAGCUCGGCCGCGUCGUCCUGUUACAGCCGAGAGGAAUCAGCGCGGGGGCCAUGGAGGCAUCAAACGACCGCGCAUUGGGCUCUAUCUUCCCUGUCUCCCAAUCCUUCCAAAAUUUACAUACAAGCAUCUUCAAUUCUUCAUCCCCGUGAACUCCACCUCCACCAGCCACCCCUUGCUGAGCUAUACCUCCACCGGCCUACCCUCCCAAAAUUCAUCCCUGCCGGAGCUCUCUCUCCCCAAAGCUUCCCAUGGCCGAGCUCCUCUGUGGCCAGUGGUCGGAUCUGCUGCGGCGUGGUGGCCGCCGAUGCGCUCUCGCCGUCCCCUACUCUGCCUUCCCCGCUGCAUAUCCUCACCUGGAUGACGCCCCCCGGCUGAUCCGCGUGUGAGCGGUGGAAGGCCAGCAGCACCUUCUGUUCUGGGACCGUGGCAUCGUGUGCCGACCAGGACGGCCACGAUUCCGGCGGCAAAGCGGAGCACGGGCGACUGGGGCAUCCUAAGAAGCCCACAUCAGGACUGCAGGUGGAGGGGCGCACGAACGAACGGACCUGCCCGAAGCAGCAGGACCUGGCCCUCAAACACCCGUGACUUGCAAGGCCGCCCAGUUGCCUUCCUAGCUGUCCCUGCGAUCUCCUACCCAACGAAGCAACUUGCUGGUACUUCCCAAAAAGAUACAUGUGCGUUAGGAAGCAUGAGACCAACAGAACAUUGCCAGUAUCUACAUGUCAUGGUAUGCAUUUUGCUACUUCAAUGCUGGCAAGCAAUGUGCGACAUGAUCUGUAAGUAUAUCUUAGUAGGCAGCCAUUUAAUAUUUGUGAUAGCUUGGCCUUUUUAUAUGUUUUUUCGCAGUCGUGAGAUUUAGAGACCCUUUUUGUAGAAGGACAAAACUAAACAUUUAAGCAAAUCAUAUAUGUUCAGAGGCCAGUAAGGAGUGCUGCUCUUGACUACUAUUUUCAGUUCUGUUUAAUUUCUAUUUGUUCAGAGAUAUCUAUGUACUUAGUCAUGUGUAGUGAUAAUAUAUCUAUAUUUAAACGUAAGGAAGUGUUGUAUUUCUAGCAUGGGUUGUUAGCCUCCUUGACCGUACUUAGUACUGACCAGGCUAAUCCUGGGAUUAAUUUUUAAGGGUACAAUCCUUGUGCCUUCAGUGCACAUUUACCUUCUGUUGAGGCUGGUGUGAUAAUUGUUCUUCGUACUAUUAUGGAUGGUUCCAUAUGACAAGGUAAUAUGUGAGAAAUCUCAAUUUCCAUACUGUAACCAGAAAUCUCGGUUAUCUAGAUGGAUGAAUUUAUAUUGUUUUAGGUGAAUAUUGUGAUGCGACUGUGCUUCCUUAGGUAUUUGCCAAAUUCGCAAGGGGAAAUUCGAGAGAGGGUUGUAGCCACUAUUGUUUGGCCCUGAAGCUAUGCCAAGAAGUGCCAACACUCCUCAUGAGUUUUAUGUUUUGCUUUUCGUAGUGCUGCUAAGCCUAAAAUAUACCCUCUGAUUUAUAUUGUUCACCUACGUACCUUGGGUUUUUUUUUUUCUGAAAGAGGUUCUUUUCUGAAGUUUAAUUCUGAUGAGUAGAUGCACAGAUUUAUCUGGGCAGAUGAGUAAAUCAAAUACAGUCCCAAGUUGUAAACUUCUAGCUUGCUAUUUUAACUACUUCAGUGACCGCCUCCUGGCUUAA